rnacentral:rRNA from 1 species
AAGCGUUGUUCGGAUUUAUUGGGCGUAAAGCGCGUGUAGGCGGUUUUUUAAGUCUGAUGUGAAAGCCCCGGGCUCAACCCAGGAAGUGCAUUGGAAACUGGGAGACUUGAAUACGGGAGAGGGUAGUGGAAUUCCUAGUGUAGGAGUGAAAUCCGUAGAUAUUAGGAGGAACACCGGUGGCGAAGGCGGCUACCUGGACCGACAUUGACGCUGAGACGCGAAAGCGUGGGGAGCAAACAGGAUUAGAUACCCUGGUAGUCCACGCCGUAAACGAUGAG